rnacentral:rRNA from 1 species
GAUGAACGCUGGCGGCGUGCCUAAUACAUGCAAGUCGAGCGAACAGACGAGGAGCUUGCUCCUCUGACGUUAGCGGCGGACGGGUGAGUAACACGUGGAUAACCUACCUAUAAGACUGGGAUAACUUCGGGAAACCGGAGCUAAUACCGGAUAAUAUCUUGAACCGCAUGGUGCAAUGGUGAAAGACGGUUUUGCUGUCACUUAUAGAUGGAUCCGCGCCGCAUUAGCUAGUUGGUAAGGUAACGGCUUACCAAGGCAACGAUGCGUAGCCGACCUGAGAGGGUGAUCGGCCACACUGGAACUGAGAGACGGUCCAGAAUCCUACGGGAGGCAGCAGCAGGGAAUCGUCCGCAAAGGGCGAAAGCCUGACGGAGCGACGCAGCGUGAGUGAUGAAGGUCUGCGGAUCGUAAAACUCUGUUAUUAGGGAAGAACAAAUGUGUAAGUAACUAUGCACGUCUGGACGGUACCGAAACAGAAAGCCACGGCUAACUACGU